AUGUCCUAUUCUUUCCUCUUAGUAUAUCAGCACUGCAGUACUGCAAUACACAAUGAGAUCCGGGAACAUCACCUGAAAAGAAUCUACAGAGAAGAAGACGAGUCCACCUCAGACACUAAUGACUUCCACUCAGAUAUUUCGCAUAGUGAUAUCACUGCUUUGCAUGAAUGGCCCUCUACCCAUCAUACCUCACUUUCUGAGCCACCUUGUUCUAACUAUAGGGAUACAGACAAGGAUCUGGCAAUUAGUCGCUCUAUCUCAAAGCAUACUGGCUCCAUUGUUCUCAACCUCAAAGUGUCUCAGGUUGUUCUAAAGCAAGCUGAGCAGAGUCUGGAUAAUGUGGAGGCAGACCAAUUGGGCGCCCCAUGCUUUGAUGAGGUGGAUGCUCUGAUGAAGAGGGUGAACAUGGAAAAAGAGUGCAAUGUUGGUGUUGGGAAGGCUAUGGGGCCACCGUUUGAUAAUUAUAUAUCUAAGUGGACCAUUAAUAGAGAUGAGGAGGUCAGUCAGUACAGUUCAGCUCAAGAGGAGAGCUUCGAAAGCACAUCCUAUCCUAGUAGUGUACAGGUUAUAUGCACAGCUUGGGUUGUCUAAGGCUCAGAAAGACAGCACAGGCCGAUCUUGUCUAGAAGAACAUUUCCAAACAAAACCCUCAUGGACCAGUGAGAAACAACAGCCACACCAUUCAUUAUCUUCAUGUGCAUUUUAUCCAUUUCAAAGACUGUCUAAGAGGUGACAUGUGACCUGUUGUUUGUGUCUGUGCAGGUGAGGUUCGUGAAAUGGUGGCCCUAAUGACAGGUGGGCGCUUGGGGUCACCCUUGAGUGCUUUUGGCAGCAGUGACAGUGAGGAUGUAGCAGAGCAACAGCUCUACCUACAGGACAGACAUAGUGUGAACAGCUACCAGGAAUCUGAGACCCAGGAAAGCACUGAUCUGGAGCAACUGUUCAAGAGUUUCGCUGGUAAUAGAGCUGUGCCUGAAAUUGCUGUUAAAGGGAUAGUUCACCUAAAAAUGAAGAUUUUGUCAUCAUUUACUAUAUAUUAAAUCCUAUCCUAUAUUUUAUAUUAAAUCCUAUUUAAUGCCAGGUAUUCAGAGUGAUAGUGAGGAGAGCACAAAUUACCACACUAUCAAUCACACUUUUGAUGAGACCAAUGGAGUGCUGGAGGAAGCAAGCAACACAAAGGUGGUAAACUGUGACCUUUAUUUAUAUUUGUUUUGUACAAGUUAAUUAAUGUUUUUUUUCACAUUAAAUCAAGAUUGUUGUAUGACUUAAACCUUGAUUAACAUCAUAGGUGAACUUUUAGAACAAAAUGCUAUAAAAACUGAUAAAUAUGUACACUUUAAUGUAUGUUGUGUCACAAGGACAAAAGAAGUUCAGAUGAUUCGGACUGUACACAAACACAGCAAUCUAGCAUGUUCUACACACCCAAACACCACCCAUCCAUCUGCACAUCAUCUGGUGAAGAGCGUUCUCAGGUGAAAAUAAACAAUUUUAGUUAUUUUUAUAGGAUACUCUUUAAAUAACACAAUAAAAUCAGAAGAUUAGGCAUAUGCCUUGAAGAAUAAAGGAGGUAUAAUUCCCCCACCCUUUAUUUCUCAGUCAUUGAGCUCAGAGGAUGAGUUGGAUGUCACAAUGGAGGUUUGUCGACCCAGCUCAUCUCCAGCAGAGGAAAAACAGGCUGUUGAAAACAGUCUGAGUGGUAUGUAGUUCAAAACAGACUGCAGUUUGUGGGUAACAUUUGUCCUUUUUUAUAAUCUUUAUGUCACCCUUAUUAUUAUCUAGAAUACCGUCUUGCUCAAGAGGACUCAAAGGAUUCUGAAUCUAUUACCCCUGUGCACAGGUGCAUUCCUACCAUCAGGUAAUGUUCUUUUUUAUUAACUCUACACCAAGUUAAAAAUUUUGGGGUCAGCAGUGUUAUUUUAAUAUUAUUUAUAUUUUAUUAUAGUUUUUAUUAAUAUUUUGAUUUAGCUUUUACUUUAUAUUUUCAGUUUUUGUUUUAAAUUUUUUUUUUUUAUAAUUAUCUUUGCUUUUGUCAGUUUUUAAUAUUACUACUUAUAAUAGUAAUCAAUAGUAUAGUUAAUAAUAUUAUAAUAGUAUCAAAAGGUUUAUUUGAUUUUUAUUUUAGUUAAGUAAAGGCAUUUAUAAUGUUACAAAAAAUUCCUAUUUCAAAUAAAUGCUGUGCUUUUGCACUUUGUAUUUAGAAUCCCCAAAAAAAUUUAAGCAGCACAAUUGUUGAUAAUAAUGAGAAAUUGUUUUUUGAGCAGCAAAUCAGCAUAUUAGAAUUAUGGUAAUUUUGUUCGAUCAGUUGUUUGCCAGACCUGGCUGAGAUUGCAGACCUCUCCAGCAUAUCCUGUUCACCAGCCCAUCACCAAGAAUGGGUGGAGUCAGCUGAAGCCCCGCCCAUCCCUCUCAGCAGAGGACAUCCACCCUGUAACAGCACCCCACGCAGCCCAAAAGGUACAAAGUGAAUCAGAAUAUGUUGUGUGGAUCAGUUUUGUCUAAUUGUGAACACUGUUUAAUUACAGACUGUAGGACACACCUUCAAUAUGUGCAGGUUGGCACUGAACACCUCCAGAGCCUGUUGGACUCGUCACCAUGGGGCAGUGCGCCAUCCCAUACUGUCUGCACAGAGAGUUACGCCACAGCCAGCGCAGGAGACAGCAGCACAGUCAGUCAAUGAAUCAUUAUAUUUGAAUGAUAUAUUUUUACAAUCAUAUCAGGCAAUAAAUGUGACUCUUUAUGUUUUCUGUAUCAGUCCAAUAAGUAAAAUAAACUGAUAUAUUUAAGCUGACAAUCUGUACUCAAAUGAACACCACAGAUUAUUUAUACCAGUUGGCCUAAAUAAUGUUAAACAUAAAAUGUCUACUUAAAGCCUGCU
rnacentral:lncRNA from 1 species